CGUGAGUGAAGACGGCCUUCGGGUUGUAAAGCUCUGUUAUACGGGACGAAUAAUCUUGUGGUUAAUACCCAUGAGAAGUGACGGUACCGUAAGAGAAAGCCACGGCUAACUACGUGCCAGCAGCCGCGGUAAUACGUAGGUGGCAAGCGUUGUCCGGAAUUAUUGGGCGUAAAGGGCGCGCAGGCGGCUUCUUAAGUCUGUCUUAAAAGUGCGGGGCUUAACCCCGUGAUGGGAUGGAAACUGGGAAGCUCAGAGUAUCGGAGAGGAAAGCGGAAUUCCUAGU
rnacentral:rRNA from 1 species